UCUCAAUCUGGGAAUAUUUAAUGGUACCGUGCAGCUCACAGACCUGCAGUUAAAGGCCGAGGCACUGUAUGAACUGGAGCUGCCCAUUGAAGUGAAGGCCGGUUGCAUCGGCAAGCUCUCAGUGGACAUUCCCUGGCUGAGCCUGUAUGCAGAGCCUGUGCUUGUCCAUGUGGAGGAUGUGUUAAUCUUGGCUGCCCCCAUUUGUGAUGAGCCGUACGAUGCGGACAAGGAGCGUCUCCUGGCGAGGGCACUCAAGUCUCACCGACUGGAGCUUCUGGAGACCAAUCUG